rnacentral:rRNA from 1 species
AGUGAGCGGCAAAGCUCAAAUUUGAAAGCUAGCACCUUCGGUGUUCGCGUUGUAAUUUGAAGAUAGUUUCCUUGAGUAGUCCUUUAUCUAUGUUCCUUGGAACAGGACGUCAUAGAGGGUGAGAACCCCGUAUGAUUUUGGAUACUACUCUUUGUGGGAUUCUAUCGAAGAGUCGAGUUGUUUGGGAAUA